AUGUCCACCAACGGCAGCUCCCCGGUACGUGCGCCGCCCUCUCGCCCCGGUCCACACGCCUCUGAAAUUUCCCGACUUUGGUUGGUGUCUGUCUUCUCUGACGAUUUGCUCGGGCGGGGGUGGGGGAUUCUGCAGAGGGUCAGGGACACGGAGAGCAGCCUGGAGAAGGUGAAGCGGCAGCUGUCGACGGGAUCCGGGAGGUACUUGCUGCAGGGCCCCCUGCUGAAGCGAUCUGAGACGUUACGGAAAUGGAACGAAAGAUGGAUAAUAUUGGACCCAACGUCUGGCAAGAUGGAAUACAAACUUCGGAGGAAUGAAACUGCCGUUAAGGGAACCAUUAUAUUUGAUGCUUCAAGCACCAUUACUUUGUCUCCUGUAAAUUUUCAAGGCAUGCCAAAGUAUGACGGAUGUUGUUUCUACAUUGGAACUCCUCAGAAAAAAGAUUACUUUCUUUGCGCUGAAACUCCUGGUGCUGCCAAAGCUUGGGUAUCUACAUUGCAUGCAACUCAGUUAGUACUACAAGCGCAUAAAGAGGCAGUAAAUUCUUUAGCUGGGAAUGGCUCUCCUUCUACAUUAGGCACGGUUGCUACUGCAGUUGCUAAUGCUAAUGCAACUGCUUUGGAGGCAAUGAAGGAGAUAGAUGCAGCACUGAAGGUUUCAAUGAGGGCAGCUCUUGGGUUGGGUACAAAUAAUUCGAAUGUGGGUCAACUUGAUGAUUUAACUAUCAUGAAGGAGACUCUCCGAGUGAAAGAUGAGGAGUUGCAGCAUUUGGCUAAGGACAUUCGUGCUCGUGACGCCACAAUUCAGGAAAUUGCAGAGAAGUUAACGGAGACCGCAGAGGCUGCAGAAGCAGCAGCAUCUGCAGCUCAUACAAUCGAUGAACAGAGACGACUUCUAUGUUCAGAGAUUGAGCGUCUGAAAAAAGCAAUGGAAACACAAAUGGAACAAUCCAUGCUUAAGCUACGACAAUCUGAAGAGAAGGUAAUUAGCCUGAGCAAAGAGAACGACCAGUUGAUGAAGGAAAGAGAUGCCGCAUUUCAGGAAGCAUAUAUGUGGCGCACUGAACUAGGAAAAGCUAGAGAGCAAGCAGUGAUACAGGAAGCAGCAAUUGCUCGAGCAGAGGAGAAGGUAAGGGUGUCUGAAGCGGAUGCUGCGGUUCGGAUCAAGGAAGCCGCUGAAAAACUGCAUGCUGCUGAGAAAGAAAAGGAGGAACUUUUAGCCCUUAUUGGUGUUCUCCAAUCACAAGUGCAGAGAGAACAAAGCAGCACGAAGCAAGUAUGCGAGGAGAGAUCCGAGUCAUGCUCCGGCGCCGACAACUCCCCUCCGCUGACGAAGCACGUCGACGCAUCGGACGACGACGUGGACAAGGCGUGCGUGAGCGAUUCGAGAUCGGUCGUGGUCUCGAGUGAGAGCACGGAGGUCCAGCUGGCCGUGGACGGGGUGGACAUCCGCCCCAUCGGCGACCCGGAGUGGGGCAGCUUCCAGCAGCCGGAAGCGCUGAUCGCCGACGUGCGGGAGGUCUCCCCGGAGGCGGAAGGCAGCAGCCUGGAUAUCCCGGUGGUCAACCCGGCACCGGCCAAUGAUCAUAUGCAGGGAGGGGCAACACAUCCCUGA
rnacentral:rRNA from 1 species